UAAAAUAAAUAUAUCUAAUAAAAUCAAAAAAUAAAAUAUUUCUAAGAGUUUUUGAGGCACCCAUAAUGUAGAUCUAUACAAUAUCAGACAGAGUGCUCAAUGACAUAGGAUGCUAUUCAGUAAGCAAUCCCAUUUGUCUUAUAUCAGACAUGCUUGGUGGAGAGAGAGAUACCUUGUCUAGCCAUCUAUUCAAUGUCCUGUAG
rnacentral:lncRNA from 1 species